GACGAACGCUGGCGGCGUGCUUAACACAUGCAAGUCGAACGUGAUUUUUAAGGAAAGCCCUUCGGGGUGGGAAUUAAAAUGAAAGUGGCGAACGGGUGAGUAACACGUGAGCAACCUACCUUACACAGGGGGAUAGCCGUAGGAAACGACGAUUAAUACCGCAUGAGACCACAGAAUCGCAUGAUAUAGGGGUCAAAGAUUUAUCGGUGUAAGAAGGGCUCGCGUCUGAUUAGCUAGUUGGAAGGGUAAAGGCCUACCAAGGCGACGAUCAGUAGCCGGUCUGAGAGGAUGAACGGCCACAUUGGAACUGAGACACGGUCCAAACUCCUACGGGAGGCAGCAGUGGGGAAUAUUGCACAAUGGGGGGAACCCUGAUGCAGCGACGCCGCGUGAGCGAAGAAGGUUUUCGAAUCGUAAAGCUCUGUCCUAUGAGAAGAUAANGACGNU
rnacentral:rRNA from 1 species